AUUGAACGCUGGCGGCAUGCUUUACACAUGCAAGUCGAGCGGCAGCGCGGGGGCAACCCUGGCGGCGAGCGGCGAACUGGUGAGUAAUGCAUCGGAACGUAUCCUCGAGUGGGGGAUAACCCAGCGAAAGUUGGGCUAAUACCGCAUGAGCUCUGAGGAGGAAAGCGGGGGACCUGCGAGGGCCUCGCGCUGGAGGAGCGGCCGAUGUCCGAUUAGCUAGUUGGUGGGGUAAAGGCUUACCAAGGCGACGAUCGGUAGCUGGUCUGAGAGGAUGAUCAGCCACACUGGGACUGAGACACGGCCCAGACUCCUACGGGAGGCAGCAGUGGGGAAUUUUGGACAAUGGGGGCAACCCUGAUCCAGCCAUGCCGCGUGAGUGAAGAAGGCCUUCGGGUUGUAAAGCUCUUUCGGACGGAACGAAAUGGGCGGGACUAAUACUCCUGUCUGAUGACGGUACCGUAAGAAGAAGCACCGGCUAACUACGUG
rnacentral:rRNA from 1 species